GUCGAGGGGCAGCACGUCUUCGGAUGGUGGCGACCGGCGCACGGGUGAGUAGCGCGUAUGCAACCUACCUGUAACUGGGGGAUAGCUCCCUGAAAGGGGAAUUAACACCGCAUAAGACCACGCUUUCGCAUGGAAGAGUGGUAAAAUAUUUAUAGGUUACAGAUGGGCAUGCGUGACAUUAGUUUGUUGGUGAGGUAACGGCUCACCAAGACUACGAUGUCUAGGGGUUCUGAGAGGAAGGUCCCCCACACUGGUACUGAGACACGGACCAGACUCCUACGGGAGGCAGCAGUGAGGAAUAUUGGUCAAUGGGCGCAAGCCUGAACCAGCCAUGUCGCGUGCAGGAAGACGGCCCUAUGGGUUGUAAACUGCUUUUGUAUGGGAAGAAAUUGCUCGACGUGUCGGGCAUUGCCGGUACCAUACGAAUAAGGAUCGGCUAACUCCGUGCCAGCAGCCGCGGUAAUACGGAGGAUCCGAGCGUUAUCCGGAUUUAUUGGGUUUAAAGGGUGCGUAGGCGGAAUGGUAAGUCAGAGGUGAAAUCCUGCAGCUCAACUGUAGAAUAGCCUUUGAAACUGUCAUUCUUGAGUACAUUUGAGGUAGGCGGAAUGUGGUGUGUAGCGGUGAAAUGCAUAGAUAUACCACAGAACACCGAUUGCGAAGGCAGCUUACUAAACUGUAACUGACGCUGAGGCACGAAAGCGUGGGUAUCAAACAGGAUUAGAUACCCUGGUAGUCCACGCUGUAAACGAUGA
rnacentral:rRNA from 1 species